rnacentral:rRNA from 1 species
UACGGGGGGGGUAAGCGUUGUUCGGAAUUACUGGGCGUAAAGGGCUCGUAGGCGGCCAACUAAGUCAGACGUGAAAUCCCUCAGCUUAACUGGGGAACUGCGUCUGAUACUGGAUGGCUUGGAUUUGGGAGAGGGAUGCGGAAUUCCAGGUGUAGCGGUGAAAUGCGUAGAUAUCUGGAGGAACACCGGUGGCGAAGGCGGCAUCCUGGACCGGCAUUGACGCUGAGGAGCGAAAGCUAGGGGAGCAAACGGG